rnacentral:rRNA from 1 species
UACAGAGGUCUCAACCGUUGUUCGGAUUCAUUGGGCGUAAAGGGUGCGUAGGCGGUCGUGCAAGUCGGAUGUGAAAUCUCAGGGCUCAACCCUGAAACUGCAUUCGAUACUGCGCGGCUAGAGUGCUGGAGGGGAGACUGGAAUUUACGGUGUAGCAGUGAAAUGCGUAGAUAUGUGGAGGAACACCGAUGGCGAAGGCAGCCUCCUGGGCCAAUACUGACGCUCAUGCACGAAAGCGUGGGGAGCAAACAGG